CAGGCCUUUGCCCGAAUACAUUAGCAUGGAAUAAUAGAAUAGGACGCGCGUUCCCAUUUUGUUGGUUUCUGAGAUCGCCGUAAUGAUUAAUAGGGACGGUUGGGGGCAUUAGUAUUCAGUUGCUAGAGGUGAAAUUCUUAGAUUUACUGAAGACUAACUACUGCGAAAGCAUUUGCCAAGGACGUUUUCAUUAAUCAAGAACGAAGGUUAGGGGAU
rnacentral:rRNA from 1 species